GACGAACGCUGGCGGCGUGCCUAAUACAUGCAAGUCGAACGCUGAAGAGAGGAGCUUGCUCUUCUUGGAUGAGUUGCGAACGGGUGAGUAACGCGUAGGUAACCUGCCUGGUAGCGGGGGAUAACUAUUGGAAACGAUAGCUAAUACCGCAUAAAAUGGAUUAUCGCAUGAUAAUUCAUUGAAAGGUGCAAAUGCAUCACUACCAGAUGGACCUGCGUUGUAUUAGCUAGUUGGUGGGGUAACGGCUCACCAAGGCGACGAUACAUAGCCGACCUAAGAGGGUGGACGGCCAAACUGGGACUGGGACACGGCCCAGACUCCUACGGGAGGCAGCAGGAGGGAAUCUUCGGAAAUGGACGGAAGGCUUACCGAGCAACGCCGCGUGAGUGAAGGAGGUUUUCGGAUCGUAAAGCUCUGUUGUAAGGGAAGAACGAGUGUGAGAGUGGAAAGUUCACACUGUGACGGUAUCUUAACAGAAAGGGACGGCUAACUACGUG
rnacentral:rRNA from 1 species